ensembl:lncRNA
AAUAAAGAUAAAAACAUAAAAUAAACAAAAUCAAAACAUUUAUUUUAAAGGCCUUUAAAGGGAAUCCCACAGCUGUCAGUUCUGAUUGGAAAUGGAAAAACUGGGCUUGUUUUAAUUCCUUAUUGAGUUGGCUUUGGGCUGGAAUUAUUUCUGGGACCUGACAACCCUGCUAGCCUUUAUUCCAAAAUAACAGCAUGUAUGUAUGUAUUUAUUUAUUUAUUUAUUUUAGUAGAAAAAAAGAAGCAAAACAAGGAGGCCUUUGUAUGUACUACAUUAAGCCUUACAUUUGCUUGUAGUUUCUGGCAAAAAAAAAAAAAAAGAAGAAGAAGAACUCAUAUUGUGAAAUAUGAUGCCUUCAACCUGCAUUUAAUAUGUCUGUUAGUUUUGGAUACAUAAGUUCUUUUUUUUUUUUUUUUUUUUCUCCAGGACUAGCCUUGACUUCUGAAAUAUGUUGGUAAUUUCUAACUCUUCUGUUUCUCUAUGUAUUAAGGAAAAAUGCAGAAGAAAAAAGGCAUCAGUGUAUCAGUGGCAAAUGCUCUUCAAGAGAGCAUGGCAGGUUGUAAAAAAAUGCAACAAUACAAAACAAAAAGCUCAACAAAGUGGGCUUUGUUUCACCACAGCCUGACACAGAUUCAACUGAUCCUCUGCCGGAUCCAUCUGUUCUGCAGGAUCCAGCUGAUCCUCAACUGGAUUCCUUCAUGUUUCAAUCAACAGCACAGGAUCCAGCUGAUCUUGAACCGGGUCCAUCUGUCCUCAAGACAGCAGCUCUGCAGGAUCCAGCUGAUCCUCAACUGGCACAACAAAGUGGGCCCUGUUUCACCACAGCCUGGCACAGAUCCUCAGCCAGAUCUAUCUGUUCUUGAGCUAAUGGCUCUGCAGGAUCCAACCGGAUCCAUCGGUCCUCGAGACAGCAGCUCUGCAGGAUCCAGCUGA